AGGGAGUUUGAUCCUGGCUCAUGAUGAACGCUGGCGGCGUGCUUAACACAUGCAAGUCGAACGAAGCAACCUAUCACGAUCCCUUCGGGGUGACGAUUUGUUGACUGAGUGGCGGACGGGUGAGUAACGCGUGGGUAACCUGCCUUGUACAGGGGGACAACAGUUGGAAACGACUGCUAAUACCGCAUAAGCGCACAGCUUCGCAUGAAGCGGUGUGAAAAGUUAUUUCGGUACAAGAUGGACCCGCGUCUGAUUAGCUAGUUGGUGAGGUAACGGCCCACCAAGGCGACGAUCAGUAGCCGACCUGAGAGGGUGACCGGCCACAUUGGGACUGAGACACGGCCCAAACUCCUACGGGAGGCAGCAGUGGGGAAUAUUGCACAAUGGGCGAAAGCCUGAUGCAGCGACGCCGCGUGAGCGAAGAAGUAUUUCGGUAUGUAAAGCUCUAUCAGCAGGGAAGAUAAUGACGGUACCUGACUAAGAAGCACCGGCUAAAUACGUGCCAGCAGCCGCGGUAAUACGUAUGGUGCAAGCGUUAUCCGGAUUUACUGGGUGUAAAGGGAGCGUAGGCGGUUUUACAAGUCUGAUGUGAAAGCCCGGGGCUCAACUCCGGUAUUGCAUUGGAAACUGUAGAACUAGAGUGUCGGAGGGGUAAGUGGAAUUCCUAGUGUAGCGGUGAAAUGCGUAGAUAUUAGGAGGAACACCAGUGGCGAAGGCGGCUUACUGGACGAUUACUGACGCUGAGGCUCGAAAGCGUGGGGAGCAAACAGGAUUAGAUACCCUGGUAGUCCCCU
rnacentral:rRNA from 1 species